rnacentral:misc_RNA from 1 species
AAAUGUUGAGGAGCGUGCUCCGAAGUGCCGUUUUACGAAUCCGAUUCGGAUUCACCGUGUUCUUUUUUGCGUACCCCUGUUUCCUCGGCAGCUUCGCCUGCCAACGGGGACCCCCAAAAACCCUUUGCAAUUCAAGUACAAUUUUCUGAAAACAAACAAUAUUAA